rnacentral:rRNA from 1 species
GGCCAGACUCCUACGGGAGGCAGCAGUGGGGAAUAUUGCACAAUGGGGGAAACCCUGAUGCAGCGACGCCGCGUGAGUGAAGAAGUAAUUCGUUAUGUAAAGCUCUAUCAGCAGGGAAGAAAAUGACGGUACCUGAGUAAGAAGCCCCGGCUAACUACGUGCCAGCAGCCGCGGUAAUACGUAGGGGGCAAGCGUUAUCCGGAUUUAUUGGGUUUAAAGGGUGCGUAGGCGGAAUGCCAAGUCAGCGGUAAAAUCGCGGGGCUAAACCUCGCUCCGCCGUUGAAACUGGCGUUCUUGAGUGGGCGAGAAGUAUGCGGAAUGCGCAGUGUAGCGGUGAAAUGCUUAGAUAUUGCGCAGAACUCCGAUUGCGAAGGCAGCAUACCGGCGGCGAUCUGACACUGAGGCACGAAAGCGUGGGUAUCGAACAGGAUUAGAUACCCUAGUA